GUUGAAUGUAGCUGACUGGCACAUGUAAAUAUUUUUGAUGAUUCAAACACCACUCCCGGCUUUGUCACUGGUGAUGGCAAUUUUCCAAUAUGAGGAGCGACUCUUGGUAAAGUUUUUGAUGAAGCAAAGGACAGAAACUACAUGAUUCCACUUAUAUGGGGUACCUAGAAUAGGCAAAUUCACAGAGACAAAGUAGAUUUGAGGUUACAAAGGGCUCAGGGAAGGGGAGAUGGGGAGCUAUUGCUUAAUGAGUACAGUGUCUGUUUGGGGUAAUGAAAAAGUUUUGGAAAUAGUGGUGACUGUUGUACAACACUGUGAAUGGACUUAAUGCCACAGAACUGAGCACUUAAAAAUAGUUAAAAGGGGAAAUUUUAUGUGAUGUAUUCCUACCACAAUAAUAAAAUAGGGGAACCUGUGUGACUCCGUGGUUGGGUGUCUGCCUUCUGCUCAGGUCGCAAUCCCAGGGUCCUGGGAUCCAGUCCUGCAUCUGGCUCCUCAAAGGGAGCCUGCUUCUCCCUCUGCCUAUGUCUCUGCCCCUCUCUCUGUGUCUCUCAUGAAUAAAUAAAUAAAUAAAAUCUUAAAAAAUAAUAAUAAAAAAAUACCUUUAAAAAAGUCUUGUUUAUCCAUAAAAUAGAGUGAGAACUAGCUCAGAUAAUUAAUAAUAAAUGUCCCUUCGCUUACACGAAUGCCCUGCAAGACAUUUGAAAGUCAUGCAAGACCAUUCUUUGUUGAGCAAGACUGUCCCACACUUUACAGGUGUCUAGCAUCACCGGCCAACCUCACUAAAUGCCCCCACCAAGUUCCAAUUCCUCUCCCGGGAAUCCCUGAGAUGCAGGCAGGACAGCCGGAUUUUAUUUAUUUGGGAGGUCUGGGUGGCUCAGCAGUUGAGCAUCUGCCUUCAGCUCAGGGCGGGAUCCCGAGAUCCUGGGAUGGAGUCCCGCAUUGGGCUCCCUGCAUGGGACCUACUUCUCCCUCUGCCUCUGUCUCUGCCUCUCUCUCUGUGUGUCUCUCAUGAAUAAACAAAAUCUUUUAAAAACAAAAAAAGAUUUUAUUUAUUUAUUUAUUUGGCAGAGAGAGCAAGAAAGCAUAAGCCAGGAGGAGAGGCAGAGGGAGAGGGAGAAGCAGGCUCCCUGCUGAGCAGGGCACCCCAUGUGGGGCUUCGGACCCUGAAAUCAUGACCUGAGCCAAAGACGGACUUUUAAGCAACUGAGCCACCCAAGCACCCUUAAUUCAUCCUUCCUCCAACUGACUUUGGAUUCAUUCACACUGUCCAAACUUAGCAUUUGAAGCUCCUUUAGAGUUAACACAGUCUUGGGUACAGCCAUACAUGUAGCAAGUUUUGCUUUUCUAAAAUACUCUACUUGGGUCCUUUUGACAUAAUUCAAUUCCUAUUUUCUGCCCUUUUUAUCCUUCUUCUUAUUCAUAGACAUCUUGAGAAUGUAUAUAACCUUAUUACUUUGUUAGCAAUUACUAGCCAUGGAUAAUUCAUUUUCCUAUUAUUUCAACAGCAGCGGCAGCCUGUCAUCUACACUAUAGCUUAGUUUCCAACUGCUGGUGUAAACAAUGCGGUGUGUGACCAACCUGGACAUUUUCACCAGUUGAAUCGAUCUGAGGUCCAAUUGGUCUAAACAGCAAUCAGUGAUGCACAAUUGAGCACAAUAAUCACUUAGAAGUUCAAGUCCUGGUGCAUACAUUGCAUGUUUUACAUCACAUCUGUACUGUUUAAAAAUUCUAUUGCUAAUAUAUUGCAGUAUUGUAUUGGUGUUUCUUUUAUAAAUUUUAGGGGUUUUUGGUAAAUGCUUAAAUAAAUAAAGUCAAAAGUUAAAAAAAAACCUGGGU
rnacentral:lncRNA from 12 species